UACGUAGGAGACGAGCGUUGUCCGGAAUUACUGGGCGUAAAGCGCGUGUAGGCGGAUGAGCAAGUCUGCUGUGAAAGCUCCUGGCUUAACCGGGAGUGGUCGGUGGAAACUGCUCGUCUGGAGGACGGUAGAGGUAGGUAGAAUUCCCGGUGUAGUGGUGAAAUGCGUAGAGAUCGGGAGGAAUACCUGUGGCGAAGGCGGCCUACUGGGCCGGUACUGAAGCUGAGGCGCGAAAGCGUGGGGAGCAAACAGG
rnacentral:rRNA from 1 species